CUCCUGUGCCGGGCGAGCCUGUGAGACCCCCGACAGUCGGGGACGCUCACCACCCCACCGCCCCCCCAGCCACUCUGACAAGUCACGGAGGUUGCUGGCCAUCUCCCCAUUGCCGAGACUGGCCGGCCCAACUGCGAAAGGCGCCUUGUCCUGGCAGGGACGCCACGGGAAGGGCGUCCUGACUCAGCGGCCCAUGCUUCCUGCUUCUGCUUCUUUAGUGCACUGUACAUUCAAGGCCGAGUCACUUCUUCCCCUGAGACCACUCUCGCUAGGUCCCUGGCCUCACCUUGAACUCUCAGAAUCAAGAGAUCCUCCUGCCUCUGCAGCCUGGAAGCUGGAGCACUAUGGUAUUUUUGUGACUACAGUGCAAUGGACUGAAGGGAAUGCCUGGGGCCCCGGCCGCCCCGCCCCCUCACCCGGAAGCGCCUGCGCAGCAGGCUGUUGAGCGCGAAGUCAUCCUUCCAGACGUUCUGCGCCUCCUGCAGGUGGCUGAGCGUGGGCAGCGCCCGCUGCAGCGUCCCGCGGUCGGCCUCACCGUGCUCCAGGCGGAACAUGGCGUCGGUCUCCA